rnacentral:tRNA from 1 species
GGAGAAAUGACUGAGUGGUUGAAGGUAGCACAUUGCUAAUGUGCCAUAUGCAAUAGCAUAUCAAGGGUUCGAAACCCUUUUUCUCCU